CUCCACCAAACCUUGUGGGUCAAAGCUGUCAUACACACUCAACUCCAACUGCAUCACCCUCCAUACAGUGGCCUCCUCACGGCGGCGUGGUAAGGGAGGCUCGCACCAGUGUGGGAAGGGAGGCUCGCGCCAGCGGGAUCCCGACUAGCGGCGGCGGCUCGACUCGAGGGCGGUGGUGGCGUCUUAGCUCGAGGGCGGCGGCGAGAUCCCGACAGGCAGCGACGGUGGCUUGACUCGAGCGCGGUGGCAUCUGGACUCGAGAGCGGCGGCGGCAUCUGGAUUUGAGAGUACCGGCAACUCGAGGUAGGAAGGGAGGUGCCGGCGUGAUUCCGAGUUCCCGACAGGUGGCGGCGGUGUCUCAGCUCGAGGGCGGUUGUGGGAUCUUGACGUCGGCCGCGCCGGCGGAGAGGCGGCCCGCAGCGGCCGUGGCGGCAAGGACGCUAUGUGGGGAGGGAUUGCGAGAGGGAAGGGGUCGCGAUUUGCCGGUGUUGCCCGAAAUAGAUUAGCGAACUAUUUAUUUAUUCUAAAGAGUGACAGUGGUGGGUAAUAUUUUGCAACUCCACCGGCUCCACUACAACUCCAAGAUUUGGUGAAGUAACUUCUGUGCUCCACAAAAAAGAUGAAGUGAAGCUAAUCUUUUGUGGAGUGGAUUGGAACAACUAGAUUGUUUGGACAAAAGAUUAAGGAGUGGAGAAAAAAAGGAGUGAAGAGCUGACAAACAGAUCCUAAGCCUUGAAACGGCUCUCGCGAGCUUUAGUUUUACUAUAACUAAAAUCAGAAAUAAUUUGCCAAAAACAUAAUAGUCAUCCCAAAUUAGCUUUCCUUUAGUCCUUUAGCUGAAGUUUGUACAGACAAUGUUGACUUGUAGUCCAUAAUAUAUCCAAAUUUCGUCAUAGAAUCAAAUGAGACCCAAAAUUUGGAAGCAGAAUUGAACUUCGGCUUGAGACUUCCAGAGGCCGCCAAAUCAAACUACGUUAGGUCGUUAGCUCGCCGAUCGCCGUCCACUGGGCCAGUUAUCCCCUAAAUCCUGUUCUGCACAGCCGCCGGCCGCCACGCCGCCGCCUCUGCCUCUGUCAGUACACGCUGUUGCCGCGCUCACCGUCAUCGGCAAUUGCCCAUCCUCCGCUUCAGGGGAUUCAAAGGCGGUGGCAGCGGGGCGGGGGGCACCUUCCAGUUGUGUCGGAGAGCAGCUUGGCGGCAGAGGAGGGGCAGGCGUGGCCGGCGUUGUGACUCGGCGGGGAGGACGGGUCGAUGCUGUCUGUACUCCCAAAUGUAGCCAUCUUGAGCAAUGCUGUGUCCGCGGCACGCGUCCGCCGCCUCCGCUCUCCUCACCGGUCGUCAUCUCGUUGCUGCAUCAUCAAGGGCCAGCACCCUUCAGCCACAGCGGCCGCCUUGCGCUCGCGCUAUGCGCCUGCCGCGAGUUCAUCUCCGGCUCGCCUCCACCGCCGCCGUCCACCUCCACCCACCUCCGUCCGGCGCCAUAUCUCACGAGGUCAGGGGCAAGAACGAAUGGCAGCUGGAGCUGGAGCAGCACAUCACCCGCGGGCAGCUUGCCAUUGCCCGCAAGGUGUUCGACAGAAUCCCCGCGCCGGACGCGCGCGCUUACAACUCGCUCAUCCGAGCCUACUCCUGGCGCGGCCCCUUCCACGCCGCCAUCGACCUCUACCGCUCUAUGCUCCACCGCCGCGUGCCCCCCAACAAGUACACAUUCCCCUUCGUCCUCAAGGCCUGCUCCGCGCUCGCUGACCUCAGCUCUGGCCGCGCUGUCCAUGGCCAUGCUGCCGCUGCGGGCCUCCACACCGACAUGUUUGUCUCCACUGCCCUCAUUGACCUGUACAUCAGGUGCGCCCGCUUCGGCCCUGCAGCCAACGUGUUCGCCAAAAUGCCCAUGAGGGACGUUGUGGCAUGGAACGCCAUGCUUGCAGGCUAUGCUCAACACGGCAUGUACCAACACGCCAUUGCCCAUCUCCUCGACAUGCAGGCUCAUGACUGCCUCAGGCCCAACGCCUCCACCCUCGUCUCCCUCCUUCCUCUUCUUGCGCAACAAGAGGCGCUCUCCCAAGGAACAAGGGUUCAUGCCUACUGCCUUCGUGCCUGUCUUGAUCAUAAGGAGGAACAAGUAAUUGUUGGCACUGCGCUGUUGGAUAUGUAUGCAAAAUGCAAACACUUGGUUUAUGCUUGCAGGGUCUUUUAUGCCAUGCCUGUCAGGAAUGAGGUCACUUGGAGCGCGCUUAUUGGAGGCUUUGUGCUGUGCGACAGAAUGGUAGAAGCUUUCAGUCUGUUCAAGGACAUGCUGGCUCAAGGACUGUGCUUUCUCUCUCCAACCUCUGUCGCAAGCGCCCUUAGGGUCUGCGCCAGCCUCUCUGAUGUUCGUAUGGGUACACAGCUGCAUGCUUUGCUAGCUAAAUCUGGUAUCCACACUGAUCUCACUGCAGGGAACUCACUUCUCUCGAUGUACGCCAAGGCUGGCUUGAUCAACGAAACAAUGGCACUCUUUGAUGAAAUGGCCGUCAAGGACACAGUCUCUUAUGGUGCUCUUUUGUCAGGGUUUGUGCAGAAUGGCAAGGCAGAGGAAGCAUUUCUUGUCUUCAAGAAGAUGCAAGCCUGCAAUGUGGAACCAGAUGUCGCGACAAUGGUAUCUCUGAUCCCAGCUUGUUCACAUCUGGCCGCUUUGCAGCAUGGGAGGUGCAGUCAUGGCUCUGUUAUUAUCCGUGGGCUUGCAUCAGAAACCUCUAUAUGUAAUGCUUUGAUAGAUAUGUAUGCAAAAUGUGGAAGGAUUGAUCUCUCCAGGCAGGUGUUUGAUAAGAUGGCAGCUCGGGAUAUUGUAUCGUGGAAUACAAUGAUUGCAGGAUAUGGUAUUCAUGGACUCGGGAAGGAAGCCACUACAUUGUUCUUAGGCAUGAAGAAUCAAGGUUUUGCACCAGAUGAUGUCACAUUCAUCUGUCUAAUAUCCGCGUGCAGUCAUUCUGGACUUGUGACUGAAGGGAAGCACUGGUUUAAUAUGAUGACACAAAAGCAUGGUAUACUUCCAAGGAUGGAACACUAUAUCUGUAUGGUUGACCUUUUGGCAAGAGGUGGUUUCCUUGAUGAAGCCUAUCAGUUUAUCCAGAGUAUGCCACUGAAAGCUGAUGUCCGUGUAUGGGGAGCCUUGCUUGGAGCUUGCCGGAUUCACAAGAACAUUGAUUUAGGAAAACAAGUGUCAAGGAUGAUCCAGAAACUAGGACCUGAAGGGACUGGCAACUUUGUUCUGCUGUCCAACAUAUUCAGUGCUGCUGGGAGAUUCAAUGAGGCCGCAGAAGUUCGAGUGAUACAGAAGGUCAAGGGAUUUAAGAAGAGUCCUGGCUGCAGUUGGAUUGAGAUAAAUGGCUCCUUAAAUGCAUUUGUUGGUGGAGACCAAUCUCAUCCACAUUCACCUGACAUAUAUCAAGAACUUGAUAAUAUCAUGAUAGACAUUAAGAAACUGGGUUACCAGGCUGAUACCAGUUUUGUUUUGCAAGAUCUGGAGGAAGAGGAAAAGGAAAAGGCACUCCUUUAUCAUAGCGAAAAGCUAGCGAUAGCUUUUGGUAUCCUCAGUCUUGAUGAGGAUAAGACCAUUUUUGUUACAAAGAAUCUCCGUGUAUGUGGAGACUGCCAUACUACCAUAAAGUACAUGACAUUAGUUAGGAACAGAGCCAUCAUUGUCAGAGAUGCUAACAGAUUUCAUCAUUUUAAGAAUGGACAAUGCAGCUGUGGAGAUUUCUGGUGACAGCACCACCACCAAAAAGAAGAACAUUUUCAUAAACUAUUGGUAUCUCAGGACAUCAUGUGAGAGACCUCAUGUCCUAACACUGCAUAUUAGCUCAGCUGUUCCUCAUGAAAAGCCAUGUACAUUGCUUGCCUCGCAAUGUGAAGCUGAGAAAUGCAAGAUCCGAUCCAAGGAAUUUGAAAGGUGGAAGUCUAAGCAGAGCAAAUGCAAAGUAAGCCCGGGUUUAAGGAAAACUUUUUGGCACAUGGUGAACAUGACAUGAACCACACAACCCAUGGUUUGUAGUUUAUAUGUAUAUAAACCAAGGCAGCAGGUGCAUUUCAUGUCAUAUUGAGUGGUAAGCUUCAAGUGGAGUGAAAGGUUGUAUCAGUGCUGUGGCAUCAACCUUCAGCGAGUUCAGUACAGCUGUUCAACCUCGAGGUGCCUGGAUACUGCAGUUUCCACUCCCAGGAGUGACCUCAGGUUGCUCAUCAGUGCUCUCACUCUUGGUCACCACGACACCGUUGAUCACAAGUUGUCUGAUUCAAUUUGAUUCUUACUUAGCCGCUAAAUUGCAUGGGCAUGGAAGAAGGCUGUGUUGGAGUCUGCUGGACUGCUGCCCUAAUGGUAUUUGCCUCGCUGUUUCCAGUAUGCCGCGCGCUCUAUUAGGAGCACCAUGCGAGCCGGUCUUGGCAUCCAUGGGCCAUGGCGGCGUAGCACCUGUUCACCUUGCAGCAGAAACAUUCUUUUUGUCUGUGCUUUCUCAAAAUAACCACCCAGAUGACAGUAACAUAUCUACCUGAGAAAAUGAUGCAGUAUUCAGUCAAUAUUUUCCUAACUCAUAUUUGCAGGUCAUUUUCAGGGGACAUAUUGGACCAGAUUUUGGUGGCAGCUGUCUAAAGAUGCCGAAUAUGGAGAUGGCCGGGCUGUUCAUUGCGUGCCGCUGCAGAGUGUUCGGCGCGACGACACCUACGCAGAGGCACUCGAGGUGGAUCCGGAGAAGGUGCUUGAAGCUGAGAAGCAAGCGGCAGCUGACCGAGCUCAACGAGGUCCUCCAGUCACCCUGCGCCGCAGCAGAUGCCAUUGGCUGACUCACACAGCUGAGGAAUAUUGAUCAUUAUAUGUGUCCAAAUGCACAAUUGGCUGAUUGAGCAACAGAGUCAUGCAGAGCCACCGUAAGUAUAAGGAAUUGGCAUUCCAUCGCCAACCACCUCGAAUUGUUGCUAUUCCACUAUUUAGUGUACGACUUGGGUUCAGUUUGACUCCCUGGCAUUCUAAUAACCCUAUGGAAACAAAAGGUUUGAAACUCCUGAACUCGAGGACUUAGUUUUUCUUAUAUUCUUAUUGGUAUAGUUCAUUGGAAUGAGGCAGGGACUUCAAAUUCUCUGCAUAUUACGUACUAACUGUUAUCUUUCAAUUUGUUACACCCACUUGGAUAGAUCAACCAGCUAGAUAGAUAAAUAUAUUUCUAAUUAGCAUUUUAAGAAUGUGUAGCCUUCAAGGUUUUAUGUUUCCUUGCGGUCUAUCUUGUAAGAUUGGGUGUCCUGUGCUAAAUAUAUCCCCUUUUAUAAAAAGGGUUUCUUAAUAUUGCCAAGGUCUCACUUAAAUUCUACUUAAACUGAAUUCUGGCGGAAAUUUACAAAAAUGUUCAAUGUGUUGUUCAGUAAAACUGGUUAGUCCAGCGAUUAUUAUUUUUAAUUUGUUGCUUCUUUUGAAUUCUGCAUAAACCCAUAUUGGUGGAGAUAGCCAGAGCACUUUUUGUGGGAGAGUCAUUUUGGUCAAAUGGGGUGAUUACACUAAAAGAAUAGGAAUUGAUGGUACUUCUAAAGCAAUUAAGGAAGCUAUCAAAUCAGCGUUUGGACUUAGAACAAGACGUGCUUUCAGGCUU